GAGGGGAGAUCCCACAUAGCACGACUGGCUGAAGGGAAGCCAGGGCCCAACGUUUGCUGUAAUUUGACGGGAACAUUUUUUGACCUGCAAAGGCUCCAGGCAGAAGAAUGGGUCCCAUUCAAACGAAUGCAGCUCUUCCAAGCCAGGGAUCCCUCAGAAGCUUAGGAUGGAUUUUAUGAGCACUCUUGCAGGUCACACCAGGGACUGAGGUCUCUGAGGGGAGUAGGGACAGCAGGAGCUUUCCAGCUCCUUGCUUUGCAAGCCAUGGGAUGGGACUCUGGCUCCCGACAGGUCUCUGAAAUGGGGGCGCAAUCUCCCAAGGGAAGGCCUGGAAGGCACAACCCACACAAGCCAGAACCAAAGGGAAUGUGUACGAAGCCCCCAAGAAAUGAAACCUGCCCAGCCCUGCCUAUGUCCCUACACAAUUACAACGUUGGGAGAAGCAUCACCCUGAAUUUCUGGAUAGCUGGGCUCUAUCCUGCCUCAGGCUGCCUGUGACAAUGGGAAGAGGUGUGUCCCCCUCUUCUGAAUGCCAUAAACUUCUGCCAGAACUGGACUGGGUUCCCCACUUUCUUCAAACCACUUUAAGCACAGAGUACGGGACAGGUGUCGGGACAGUUGCAGUAGUACCGGAAAACAGGAGCAAACCGCAGGAAGGACUCCCCAUUGGCUGCCUGGCACCAGUUGGACCCACAAUCAGAGAGUGAGUGGCCAAUGUGCCUUGAAGGCGAGCGCUCUUGGAGCUGUUCCAGAGGUCAAUGGAUGUCGUCCCCAGCAUGGUAUGCCUGGUGUAGGCCAGCACAGAACGCAGCAAGUAGCCUAGCUGCUGGAUCACAUUCGGAGAGCAUUGCUGGGGGGUGAGUUUGUUGCUCUUGCUCUCCUGGAGUCAAUAACCACUUGGGGUGACUCAAGGCCCUGCGCUUCCCCUUCCCAGAGCAGCUGAGGCCUGCUCUCCCCGCAGAGUCCCCACAGCCUGCCGAACGCCACGGGUCUGGGCUCUGAUGGGCUCGUCCCUCGUGGCGGUUCACCGGGGGUCCCCGACAGAGCCAGACCUCAAGAGACAGCCAGUCAGUCCCCAAAGGGUCCACACGUCUACGAGGCUCCUCAAGUGAAAUCUCCCUGUUCUCGACAAAGCCCCCGAUCCACCCCCUGGGUCUGAAAGAGACUCAGGAUGGGCCCAAGUCCCGAGUGAGUCUACAUGUGGGUUCUCUCACCCGGCCACAGAGGGGUCUGAAUGAGGGAGCUACAAGGUCCGUAUAGGAGGCCAAGCGAAGCUCGGCAGGCAGGCAGAGAACUGGAGUGCCAUGUGCUUUCCCCUUGCUCGGAUGGCCAGUGGUCCUGUCCCGCGGUGCCCCCCCCACAGCAGCAUUGCUGUGGCUUGCUGCGAAAUGGACAGGGCAGGGGUGGGGGUGGUGAAAGAAGAUGCAGCCCCGAGAGCAGCUGGCACUCGCAGAGGCCGCGAGGCUCCCUGGGCAGCCGGUGUGCGAAGGGGAAGGAAAGGAAUCCUCCUGCGUUGAGACCAGUCUCCUGUCUUUCCUGUCUUUUCUCUCCUGCGUUGCCCCGGCGCACCGACGCUAAUGAGAGAAUCGGAGCUGCAGACACGCUCCGAGCAUGGCGCUCCCCCUCCGGCCUGAAAGGAGCGCUCCCAAUGCAGCGCCUGGAAUCCGGCCCAGACUGGCGCUUUCUAGGGGGUCUGUGAGCACAUGCCCAACUCCCGCUCCCCUCAAUGACAGCGGGGCCAGGCCAGAGCAGGAGAGAACAGACCCCUGGCGCUUAGCCCUACCGCAAGGAGCUCUCCACACGCCUUCAUUUCACACCCAGUUUGCUUCCACCCCGGCCAAACAGGGAGCAUCUCUCACCUGCACGGCUGCACAUUAAUGGCAUCAGAAGGGCACAAUCCAGGAAGGGAGGCUAGAGACGACGUGGCUCACGCUAAACCACUGCACGGGGCCCAGGCCUGCACUGCCAGGUUGGCGGGCAGGGAGUGGCGCCCUUUUCCCAGCCUUUGCAGAGUAGGAGAUCAAAGCUGGGGUCCUUUGGUUCCCCAGUGAGGAGAGCCUUAAUCUAACGCCCAACAUGCAGAGCUGGCUGGCUCAGGAUGGGCCCACUGACUCGCUCCCUCUCCUGAAGAUGGCUGCUCGGAAACGAGCGGGUCACCUCCCUCCAUUUCCAGCUGGCCCAGCGGCCCUCAGGCUGGCAGGCUCCGCGGCAAGGCGGAGGAGAGUAUGGAUGUGGAAACUGUCUGCGUCCUCUCGUUCCUACAGGUCACACUGAGCGCAUUGGCAGGGAGUGGGUGGCGGCCGAAGGCUGCCUGCUCUGUGCGCCGAAUCGCCAGCGCCAUUCUCCCGACAUGAGACAACUCCCCCCACCUUCUCCCCAGCCUGGGGCCUUUGGCAGCACCCCCGGCCUCAUCCUGCACCCCCGUCCCUCCCCACCCGGCCCAGCCCCUUCAAUCCGCUGUGCAAACAGCCCUGCCAUCAGCGCAGGGAAAUCCCCGCUCGAGAGCUAGGCCCACAGAGGGGAAGUGACUCACCCGAGGUCAGUGCUAGAGCUGGGAACAGGCCGAUUCCCAUCCCGAGCCUCAGGCCCCCAGCCCGUGCAGCCGCUGCCUCCACCCGGUGCUCUCGCUCUGCUGUGGUUUGUGCCCGCGCCCCUCCCGCCCCUUUCACAAAGGCGUCCCCCAUAAAUCACUUGGCCGUUCAGCAGAGCACUGUCAUGGGGCAGGUCUGCGCCCACCCCCGCCAUCCUGGUGCAGCUGGGCCUCCUGCGCGAAGGUCACGCCGGAAGGUGAGAUGGCUGCCAAACCAGCGGCCAUUUAAAGCAGCCGAUUAAUAAUUCAGCACGUUUACCGGAGGCGAGGAGGAGAGGGGGGCACUGGAGCUGCUGGUUCCGCCAUCCAUCGAUCUAACGCACCCACCUGGGUGCUAGAAGCGGAGAGGUCAAGGCUGAGAGCAGCCAGACAGAUCCAGAAAUCACUCCUAACAGGACAUGAUUUUUAUAACCCUGUUUUGGCACGUCCACCGUUAACUUAAUUUACCAUCCAUAUUGCUGCUACUUAAUUAAAUAGAUGAACUCAU